rnacentral:rRNA from 1 species
GACGAACGCUGGCGGCGUGCUUAACACAUGCAAGUCGAGCGGUAAGGCCCUUUCGGGGGUACGACGAGCGGCGAACGGGUGAGUAACACGUGGGUGACCUGCCCUCAGCUCUGGGAUAAGCCUGGGAAACCGGGUCUAAUACUGGAUAUGACUCCAUGACGCAUGUUGUGGGGUGGAAAGCCCUGUGCGGCUGAGGAUGGGCCCGCGGCCUAUCAGCUUGUUGGUGGGGUGANGGCCUACCAAGGCGACGACGGGUAGCCGGCCUGAGAGGGCGACCGGCCACACUGGGACUGAGACACGGCCCAGACUCCUACGGGAGGCAGCAGUGGGGAAUCUUGCGCAAUGGGCGAAAGCCUGACGCAGCGACGCCGCGUGAGGGAUGACGGCCU